AUGCAAACUCCUGUUGACGAGCGAGUAUGGACUCUUGCUCCCCCACACAACACGCCUGCCUCCGCCGCCGAGAGCACACACCGACUCAAACGUCACAAGCCGGCGCUGAUUAAGUCUGGAGCUGAGUGUUUUCUACAUCAGGCGUGGGGGAGCUCCAGCCUGCUGUCUCUGACAUCGGCCACCUUUUCCUCAAAACCCUCUCGUGUAGGGGGUGUCCCUCGCUAUUGGUCCUAAAAAGCCACAGUCCUGAUGGUUUUAUAGGGAACUCAACAUCCUCAAAUGCUAAAGACUCAGUGCUGGAAUUAAAACCAAACAGGGCAAUACUGGAAUUAGUGUGGCCUUCCAGGACCAGGAGUGACGAUCACUGAUGUUGGCGAUCAAUAUUGAAUGUAUAAAAAUUAAUAUCUGUUGUAAUCAAAUACCAUUUUAGUGUACUGUGGGUGUCCUUUCCAGCAUUUAGAAUUCAGAGACCUAUGAAAUACUAUUAUAACACAACCUCCUUUUAAAGUUAAUUGUUGUGUUUAAAAUGAUAUUAACUCCUGCCUUUGUUUCCACACUCUGAUUGAAGGGCUGAGAGAUCUUAUCAGUUGAAAGGACUGUAAAUUAAUAAUCUGUGUAUUAUCUGCAUUAGUACUAAAAUUAAAGCUACCUCAAAUAAUCUAUAUUAGUUUUAAUGCAUCACAACUCUAUUGUUGUUUUCAAAAGGUAAAGAUAACAGUAUGUUGACUAAUUAAGAGCUCAUAUGUGUUGGAUUAGGUAAAAAUAGAUGUAUAUUUAGUUUAAAAGGCAAAUGAUUGUGUGUACAGUGGAAAUCUGAACAUAAAAUAUACCAGGCUUAUCUAAAUAUACUGUAUGCAUGUGUCAAACCCAGAACCUUUAGGACAUGAAUUCAGAAUUUGUCCUUGAAGGUUUUCACCUUAAUUUGUGCACCUUAACAUAUUUAAGAUUUUUCUUAGAUAAGGUUAAGGUUUUAGAUCAGGUGUGAGACACUCAUUUUCUGAAAGGGCUGCAGAAUCCUCCACUUUUUCUUCCAAAUUUGGUCUCGUUUGGUCUCAUUAAUUGAUGUGAUAAUUAAGAAAUUGCUUCCCUGUAUCUGCAGUAUACAAAGAACUGGGGAAAUGGGGUUAAACUGAUUAAGUUAAACUACUAAUUAGCUCAAUUAGCUAAGAGCAUGGGAGGAAUGAAACACGACAGCCUCUACGGCUCUCCAAGACAAGAGCAGUUUAUGAAUGAAUUCAGAUCACAAAGACUUACCCAUAUAGCAAAGGGUUAAAACUACAGUUUUGUCAGAUGAGCUUGAUCCACGUUACAGUUGCAAUAAAGCUGCAUCAGGUCUGGCUUGACGUAUUCACUUGUUCCACUUAAAUAAUUACCCGUGUUCCAUCUGCCGACUCUGGUUUUAGACACAAUACCUAAGAAAUGCUCAGAGGCCGGGAUAGACAAAUGUUGCCCUUUGACUCAAAUAAUGCGAUAAAGUAAGAGAGCUACAAUGAGGAUGCAGUCCUGGUAGCCACGGAAAGAGACAUAGCUCACCAAUAGCAUUGACAGUUUUGCCUGAAAGUGAACAAAUAAAAUCUAAAAUAUUAAUCAUCACAAAGAUUACAACUGCCUGUACUUUUGGCUAGGAGUACUGUUGAGGCUAAAAUAAAGGGGGUAAAUACUAAAUAAAGUACCUACUGUUAUUACUGCCACUGCUGCUCUUACUGUGACUAAUACUACUCAUUAAUAGCAUCAGGAGUCACAAGAGACAUCUUAGCCAAUUCUAAUACAGAGGAGCAUACUGGAAAACUAAUAAUCAAUAAGGUACUUGACAGUUGACUAUUCAAGAUAUCUCCCAAGACCAACAAAGAAAAAUGUCUCAUUUGUGAUCUUGGUUCCAGUUUUAGUCAAAUACAUAUAAUAUAAGUGUAUCUUUACUUUCAGACUGACAGAAAGGUGUGGAUUAUAAUGAUCAACCCAGUCUUCCAAAUCGGGGAUGAGUGUCACCAACUGACUACGUUCUCUAGCUGCUUUCCUGCUCUGGUCUCAAUUACUUAAACUGCAAUAUAGUAUCUGUAAAAACUACAGGACUUGCCUCUCCCUGAUAUAAAGCCAUCAGGUCCUCAGGGAAUACAGAGACUGAAUAACCUGCAAUUAAUCUAUUGUAAGAACCUACAAUUAAAGGCAGUUGGUCUAGUUCAGCUAAUUAUUUCACUUGGGUAGCUAAACCCACAAGUGGAUUAAAAACCAGAUGACACUGCAUCCAUAAGACUGGAACUGUGCACUGCUGCUGUAAGUGAACAGCACUUGGUGAGAUAACUGCUUCUUUAGGUCAGGCCAUCCUAAUUCAAGGCCACUGGCAUUAAUUUUAAUUCAGACUGCCAAAGUGCAUUUUAUUUAACUAUUGGAGAAGUGAAAUUCCCCUUAAUAUUCAUACAAGAUAGAAUUUGGAGGCUAUAUUCAGAAAAUACUAACACAGGAGGCGCUUCUGUUAUUUAAGGUGAACAAAACUGGCAAAUGUUCCAAUGCUUUCAUGUUUAUAAAAACGUUUUUAUAUGCUGCGCCAGCCAAAAAUGUGGAGGCAUAAUAAAGAAAGGAUCAUUCUUUUUCC
rnacentral:lncRNA from 1 species